rnacentral:rRNA from 1 species
CAACCUGAGAGUUUGAUCCUGGCUCAGGACGAACGCUGGCGGCAGGCCUAACACAUGCAAGUCGAACGAGAAGUAGGUCUUCGGACUUAUGGACAGUGGCGGACGGGUGAGUAACGCGUGGGUACUUGCCUCUCGGUACGGGACAACCCCGGGAAACUGGGGCUAAUACCGUAUAUACCGAUCUUGGUGGUUCUUGAUCGGGAAAGAUUUAUCGCCGAGAGAUAGACCCGCGUCCGAUUAGCUAGUUGGUGUGGUAACGGCGCACCAAGGCUUCGAUCGGUAGCUGGUUUGAGAGGAUGAUCAGCCACACUGGGACUGAGACACGGCCCAGACUCCUACGGGAGGCAGCAGUGGGGAAUAUUGGACAAUG